UACAGAGGUCUCAAGCGUUGUUCGGAUUCAUUGGGCGUAAAGGGUGCGUAGGUGGCGCCGUAAGUCGGGUGUGAAAUUUCGGAGCUUAACUCCGAAACUGCAUUCGAUACUGCGGUGCUUGAGGACUGGAGAGGAGACUGGAAUUCAUGGUGUAGCAGUGAAAUGCGUAGAGAUCAUGAGGAGACCAGUGGCGAAGGCGGGUCUCUGGACAGUUCCUGACACUGAGGCACGAAGGCCAGGGGAGCAAACGGGG
rnacentral:rRNA from 1 species